rnacentral:lncRNA from 1 species
AUUUAGUUCUAUUUAAGACUUCAAUUAAUUGGGUGAAGCCCACUCUCAUUAUGAAGGGUGAUCUGAUUUACUCUACUGAUUCAAAUGUUAAUCCAAUCUAAUGUUAAAGCCUACCAACUUAAAUGUUACUUUCACCCAGAAUUACCCUUUCAGAAACACCCAGAACAAUGUUUGACCAAAUAUCUCGACACCCCUUGGCCCAGUCAAGUUGAAAUAUAAAAUCAAUCACCACACAUAUAUAAGUUAAUGUAAUUAUCACAGCAAAGAGGUGUUGCAAUCAUUUGGAGGAGAAGAGUCACUCAUGCUUUUUGAGUUUUCAGCAUUUUAUUGAUUCUUUCUUAUCUUCAUGAGUUUAUCUAGCUUAAAUAUUUG